UACGUAGGGGGCAAGCGUUGUCCGGAUUUAUUGGGCGUAAAGAGCGUGUAGGCGGCUUUACAGGUCCGUUGUGAAAACUCGAGGCUCAACCUCGAGACGCCGGUGGAAACCGUAAAGCUAGAGUCCGGAAGAGGAGAGUGGAAUUCCUGGUGUAGCGGUGGAAUGCGCAGAUAUCCGGAGGAACACCGAUGGCGAAGGCAGCUUCCUGGCCCACAACUGACGCUGAGGUGCGAAAGCGUGGGGAGCGAACGGG
rnacentral:rRNA from 1 species